CUGAGCAAGCCGUGGGGAACAAGCCAGUAAGCAGCUCUCCUCCAUGGCCCCCGCUUCAGUGCCUACGCUGAGUUCCAUCAGUGUGCAUAAAUGACCGCUGUCAACCUUUCUGGUAGAUUUUAAGAAGUUGCUUUCUACUUCUGUUUGCUGCUUUCAGUAAGGAAUAAGAGUUCUGCGUCAUCUGGAUCUGCAGGCAGCAGGAAGAAAGAGAAGGCUCCCACUAAAACAAACUCUUAGGUUCUUCAGACCGAGUUCAGCUACUCUUCCAAUCCAAAGUUCCGAAGUCCUCCACAAUCCUUCCGACAAAACCAAACCAAACCCCGAACAAGAAAAAAUAAGCAACUGUGAUCGGGUUCUUCACAGCAAUAAGACGGUGUCAACUCAGCUCGGCAAUCUGACGUCGGCGCCUUGUAACAGUACAGUGGAACUUUAUCACGCACAGUAGAGUAUUGUAGUUCCUCACUUCAGUUCUGUGAUGCCACCAAGAGAAUUGUCAUGUGAAAGAGCAUUGUGAUAUUAAAAUUUGGCAUUAUGUCA